rnacentral:rRNA from 1 species
GACGAACGCUGGCGGCGUGCUUAACACAUGCAAGUCGAACGAAGACGAUGAAGCUUGCUUCUAUCAAUCUUAGUGGCGAACGGGUGAGUAACGCGUAAUCAACCUGCCCUUCAGAGGGGGACAACAGUUGGAAACGACUGCUAAUACCGCAUACGAUCUAAUCUCGGCAUCGAGGAUAGAUGAAAGGUGGCCUCUACAUGUAAGCUAUCACUGAAGGAGGGGAUUGCGUCUGAUUAGCUAGUUGGAGGGGUAACGGCCCACCGAGGCGAUGAUCAGUAGCCGGUCUGAGAGGAUGAACGGCCACAUUGGGACUGAGACACGGCCCAGACUCCUACGGGAGGCAGCAGUGGGGAAUCUUCCGCAAUGGACGAAAGUCUGACGGAGCAACGCCGCGUGAGUGAUGACGGCCUUCGGGUUGUAAAGCUCUGUUAAUCGGGACGAAAGGCCUUCUUGCGAAUAGUGAGAAGGAUUGACGGUACCGGAAUAGAAAGCCCGG